AAAACUGGCAAGGUACAUGGUGCCUUGAGACUAUUUCACUGUGACAUCUUAUGUCUUAUAAACCAUCUUAAUCUCCUUUCUCAUCCAGGACAAGAAUGACAGCCACAUCAUCUGGAGAAGGCAGCCAGGGAAGUACUCAAGAGAAAACACUUCUGUGGGUGACUUGAAGAAGCUGGUCACCAUAUGGUUGUGGACCAAGCUUCACUUUUUUGCAGCUUUCUGUUCCAACAAGUUACUCCCCCCAGAUCCCACCUAUUUUAAAAGCAACUCCCAGAGAAAGAAAGGCUUGACAGCCAACAGAUGACCACCACAUUCUCUCCCACAAGUCGUCUGAUUUCAAAAGAAAUUCAAGAAUGAGUAUUUACUGCCUAUAUCUGAUAGAAGAAUCCCAUUUCUCAUGAGAAAAUCAAUGGAAAACUCAGCAUUUCUUCAAAACCAAAACUUCCUUUAUCAAAACCUGUAGAACACAGGUUUCAGCAAAAUUCGUAAAAUAUUCAG
rnacentral:lncRNA from 10 species